rnacentral:rRNA from 1 species
CAGUAGCCACGGUAAUACGUAGGUGGCAAGCGUUGUCCGGAAUUAUUGGGCGUAAAGGGCUCGCAGGCGGUUUCUUAAGUCUGAUGUGAAAGCCCCCGGCUCAACCGGGGAGGGUCAUUGGAAACUGGGAAACUUGAGUGCAAAAGAGGAGAGUGGAAUUCCACGUGUAGCGGUGAAAUGCGUAGAGAUGUGGAGGAACACCAGUGGCGAAGGCGACUCUCUGGUCUGUAACUGACGCUGAGGAGCGAAAGCGUGGGGAGCGGACAGGAUUAGAUACCCCCGUAGUCCCUGUCUCUUAUAC